rnacentral:rRNA from 1 species
CCUACGGGAGGCAGCAGUGGGGAAUAUUGCACAAUGGGCGAAAGCCUGACGCAGCGACGCCGCGUGAGGGAUGAAGGUCUUCGGAUCGUAAACCUCUGUCAGCAGGGAAGAACGGUCACUGUGCUAAUCAGCAGUGAAUUGACGGUACCUGCAGAGGAAGCACCGGCUAACUCCGUGCCAGCAGCCGCGGUAAUACGGAGGGUGCGAGCGUUAAUCGGAAUUACUGGGCGUAAAGCGCUCGUAGGCGGUAUGUCAAGUCAAGGGUGAAAUCCCCGGGCUCAACGUGGGAACUGCCUCUGAAACUGGCAAGCUGGAGUCUCUGAGAGGAUAGUGGAAUUCCAGGUGUAGGAGUGAAAUGCGUAGAUAUCUGGAGGAACAUCAGUGGCGAAGGCGACUAUCUGGCACAUAACUGACGCUGAGGAGCGAAAGCGUGGGUAGCAAACAGGAUUAGAUACCCUGGUAGUC